UACGGAGGGUGCAAGCGUUAUCCGGAAUCAUUGGGUUUAAAGGGUCCGCAGGCGGAUUUAUAAGUCAGUGGUGAAAGCCCGUCGCUCAACGACGGAACUGCCAUUGAUACUGUAAGUCUUGAAUUCGGUCGAAGUGGGCGGAAUAUGACAUGUAGCGGUGAAAUGCUUAGAUAUGUCAUAGAACACCGAUAGCGAAGGCAGCUCGCUAGGCCUGGAUUGACGCUCAGGGACGAA
rnacentral:rRNA from 1 species